UACGGGGGCAAGCGUUGUUCGGAAUUACUGGGCGUAAAGGGCACGUAGGCGGCCUUCUAAGUCAGACGUGAAAUCCCAGGCUUAACUUGGGAACUGCGUCUGAUACUGGGAGGCUUGAGUGCGGGAGAGGGAUGUGGAAUUCCAGGUGUAGCGGUGAAAUGCGUAGAUAUCAGGAGGAACACCGGUGGCGAAGGCGGGUCUCUGGGCCGAUACUGACGCUGGAGGAGCGAAAGCGUGGGAGCAAACAGG
rnacentral:rRNA from 1 species